rnacentral:Y_RNA from 1 species
CGCUGGUCCAAGUGCAGUGGUGUUUACAACAUAUUGAUCACAGCCAGUGACAGAUUUCUUUGUUCCUUCUCCCCUCCCACUGCUUCACUUGACCAGCCAAAA